rnacentral:lncRNA from 1 species
GGGUGUACAGGGAACGGAGUCCCUGGCCUCCCUUGUGGAUUUCUCACGGCCCGCCUCUCCCGGGAACCAGCCUUUGUGCCGAGGCAGACCACUUUUCUAACACGCAGAUGACCCUGGUUCUGUGCGCGUCCAGUGUUGGGCAGCGGUGCUGGGACAACGCGGGCCUCCUCCCCGCGCCAGCGCCCCCGUAGUGGCAGCAGUGGCUUCUCCACCUGUGUUUGCACCAUCCUUUGCGCCCUGUGCCCUGGACCCGCAGAGAGUGGGAUGAGCCCCCGCCCCCGUCGGCACCUCUGUAGAGCUCUCUGCACCCUGUCCCUCACCUUUUGUAUUUAAUUUUAAAGUCAAUGUACUGCAAGGAAGCUGGAUGCAAGAUAG